UACGGAGGGUGCGAGCGUUGUCCGGAAUCAUUGGGCGUAAAGCGCGUGUAGGCGGUCCGGUAAGUCCGCUGUGAAAGUCGGGGGCUCAACCCUCGGAUGCCGGUGGAUACUGUCGGGCUUGAGUACGGAAGAGGCGAGUGGAAUUCCUGGUGUAGCGGUGAAAUGCGCAGAUAUCAGGAAGAACACCCGUGGCGAAAGCGGCUCUCUGGAACGGUACUGACGCUGAGACGCGAAAGCGUGGGGAGCAAACAGG
rnacentral:rRNA from 1 species